rnacentral:rRNA from 1 species
GAUGAACGCUGGCGGCGUGCUUAACACAUGCAAGUCGAACGAAGCAUUUGCGACAGAUUUUUUCGGAAUGAAGUUGCUUAUGACUGAGUGGCGGACGGGUGAGUAACGCGUGGGUAACCUGCCUUGUACUGGGGGAUAGCAGCUGGAAACGGCUGGUAAUACCGCAUAAGCGCACACUGUUGCAUGACAUGGUGUGAAAAACUCCGGUGGUAUAAGAUGGACCCGCGUCUGAUUAGCUAGUUGGUGAGAUAACAGCCCACCAAGGCGACGAUCAGUAGCCGACCUGAGAGGGUGACCGGCCACAUUGGGACUGAGACACGGCCCAGACUCCUACGGGAGGCAGCAGUGGGGAAUAUUGCACAAUGGAGGAAACUCUGAUGCAGCGACGCCGCGUGAGUGAAGAAGUAAUUCGUUAUGUAAAGCUCUAUCAGCAGGGAAGAUAGUGACGGUACCUGACUAAGAAGCUCCGGCUAAAUACGUG